rnacentral:misc_RNA from 1 species
UGUGGGAGCGAGCCUGCUCGCGAUUGCGGUGUGUCAGUCGAUAUUCAUGUUGGCUGAUCGAUCUGAUCGCGAGCAGGCUCGCUCCCACA